UACAGAGGGUGCGAGCGUUGUUCGGAAUUAUUGGGCGUAAAGGGCGCGUAGGCGGUGCGGUAAGUCACCUGUGAAAUCUCCUGGCUCAACUGGGAGCUUGCAGGCGAAACUGCCGUGCUGGAGUGUGGGAGAGGUGCGUGGAAUUCCCGGUGUAGCGGUGAAAUGCGCAGAUAUCGGGAGGAACACCAAUGGCGAAGGCAGCUCGCUGGGACGUUACUGACGCUGAGACGCGAAAGCGUGGGGAGCAAACAGG
rnacentral:rRNA from 1 species